rnacentral:rRNA from 1 species
GAUGAACGCUGGCGGCGUGCCUAAUACAUGCAAGUCGAGCGAACGGACGAGAAGCUUGCUUCUCUGAUGUUAGCGGCGGACGGGUGUGUAACACGUGGAUAACCUACCUAUAAGACUGGGAUAACUUCGGGAAACCGGCGCUAAUACCGGAUAAUAUUUUGAACCGCAUGGUUCAAAGGUGAAAGACGGUCUUGCUGUCACUUAUAGAUGGAUCCGCGCUGCAUUAGCUAGUUGGUAAGGUAACGGCUUACCAAGGCAACGAUGCAUAGCCGACCUGAGAGGGUGAUCGGCCACACUGGAGCUGAGACACGGUCCAUGGUCCUACGGGAGGCAGCAGUAGGGAAUCGUCCGCAGUGGGCGAAAGCCUGACGGAGCAACGCCGCGUGAGUUAUGAAGGUCUUCGGAUCGUAAAACUCUGUUAUUAGGGAAGAACAUAUGUGUAAGUAACUGUGCACAUCUUGACGGUACCUAAUCAGAAAGCCACGGCUAACUACGUG